ACUCAGGCGCUUGAGAGAACUCGGGUGAAGGAACUAGGCAAAAUGGUGCCGUAACUUCGGGAGAAGGCACGCUGGCGGUAGGUAAAGUCCCUCGCGGACGGCGCUGAAGCCAGUCGAAGAUACCAGCUGGCUGCAACUGUUUAUUAAAAACACAGCACUGUGCAAACACGAAAGUGGACGUAUACGGUGUGACGCCUGCCC
rnacentral:rRNA from 1 species